ACCAGAGCCGUUCCAGUCCUUCAUAUACAAAAUAUCGAGCUGACCAUCUUGCAGGGUUCACUUGGGAUGUUUCCCCGAAAGCUCCGCAUUGGCCAACAUGACUGGCAUUGACAGUUCCCGCCGGGAAAUCACUUGCCAGUAGUGGACUCACUGUCCUAUCAUGGACUCGAAAAAUUCCCGUUGACAUUUGGAGCGUGUCGGGAUCCGAUUCCCUGCCUUACGGCAGCUUAAGAAGUGGAUGGAAUAUCAUUCCGCUACACGGCGGGAAGGAAAGAAUCAUUGAAAACAGGGAUCCCGCAUUCUUUAAGACAAACAAUCCAAUGCGAAUAAAAGAGGACGAAAGAGCCGAAUAAACGUGGAAAUAACGGAAGUCAAUGGCGAUAUCUGCAUACCGACACUGGACUUUUAUUUCACCUCCCCAGUAGUAUUAGAGGCGCUGAGUCCAUUUUCAUACUUCAACAGAUCCUUUGGCGUGUCACCCACGCCCAGUGCCCGCCAGAACCGACGUUGGUAUCUCGUCCACGAAAUUUGUCGGUUCCCCCACCUUGUCUUCUAGCUCCUAGCGCUUAUCCCAGUACAAAAGUCACUUGACGAUGCGGGGAACGGGUAGUUACAAAUCAAG
rnacentral:sRNA from 1 species